rnacentral:rRNA from 1 species
GACGAACGCUGGCGGCGUGCUUAACACAUGCAAGUCGAACGGAAAGGCCCUGCUUUUGUGGGGUGCUCGAGUGGCGAAGGGGUGAGUAACACGUGAGUAACCUGCCCUUGUCUUUGGGAUAACUUCAGGAAACUGGGGCUAAUACCGGAUAGGAUCUCCUGCUGCAUGGGGGGGGUUGGAAAGUUUCGGCGGUUGGGGAUGGACUCGCGGCUUAUCAGCUUGUUGGUGGGGUAGUGGCUUACCAAGGCUUUGACGGGUAGCCGGCCUGAGAGGGUGACCGGCCACAUUGGGACUGAGAUACGGCCCAGACUCCUACGGGAGGCAGCAGUGGGGAAUAUUGCACAAUGGGCGGAAGCCUGAUGCAGCAACGCCGCGUGCGGGAUGACGGCCUUCGGGUUGUAAACCGCUUUCGCCUGUGACGAAGCGUGAGUGACGGUAAUGGGUAAAGAAGCACCGGCUAACUACGUG